rnacentral:rRNA from 1 species
UACGUAGGGUGCAAGCGUUAAUCGGAAUUACUGGGCGUAAAGCGUGCGCAGGCGGUUCGCUAAGACCGAUGUGAAAUCCCCGGGCUUAACCUGGGAACUGCAUUGGUGACUGGCGGCUAGAGUAUGGCAGAGGGGGGUAGAAUUCCACGUGUAGCAGUGAAAUGCGUAGAGAUGUGGAGGAAUACCGAUGGCGAAGGCAGCCCCUGGGCCAAUACUGACGCUCAUGCACGAAGCGUGGGGAGCAAACAGG